ACGUAGGUCACAAGCGUUGUCCGGAAUUACUGGGUGUAAAGGGAGCGCAGGCGGGCGAUCAAGUUGGAAGUGAAAUCCAUGGGCUCAACCCAUGAACUGCUUUCAAAACUGAUUGUCUUGAGUAGUGCAGAGGUAGGCGGAAUUCCCGGUGUAGCGGUGGAAUGCGUAGAUAUCGGGAGGAACACCAGUGGCGAAGGCGGCCUACUGGGCACCAACUGACGCUGAGGCUCGAAAGUGUGGGUAGCAAACAG
rnacentral:rRNA from 1 species